AUUUCUUCGGAUUGAUUCUUAACUGACUGAGCGGCGGACGGGUGAGUAACGCGUGGGUGACCUGCCCCAUACCGGGGGAUAACAGCUGGAAACGGCUGCUAAUACCGCAUAAGCGCACAGGGUCGCAUGACCUGGUGUGAAAAGCUCCGGUGGUAUGAGAUGGACCCGCGUCUGAUUAGCCAGUAGGUGGGGUAACGGCCUACCAAAGCAACGAUCAGUAGCCGACCUGAGAGGGUGACCGGCCACAUUGGGACUGAGACACGGCCCAAACUCC
rnacentral:rRNA from 1 species